GUGCUAUCGCUCCAGCCCAGCACAUAUACCAAAAUUUGAACAAUACAGAGAAGAUUAGCAUGGUGUCUCACUAAUAAUAAUAAAUAAAUAAAUAAAAAUACCUAAAUGACU